AUGUUUCCUCUAAGACUGACGGCACCGUUUUGGGCACAGCAGAAAACAACAACAACAAAAGAGAUGAGCCAGUGGUUUUCUGUAACUGACACCUUCUGUGGAGUUGGACACAUCUUUUUACAGAUUGUGUUUUUCAGGAGAGGAGGAAGACAUGGUGGUGGAAACUGGGCAGCAUGUGUGAAGCCACAUCAGACAUUUUCCAUACCGGACCAGAUCUGGUUUUCUGUUUCGUCCUUUCGAGUGAAAGAUGACCACUAAUCUUGCACUCGACACCAGCCCACUCCAGUUUCGUCUGGACAGAUGAACAAAACACACCAGAUUACAUGUGAUGGACAAGAUAAAACUACUAGUUGACAAUGACUGUCCAAUGAACAAAUAAAUAAAAAUGCGUAUAAAAGACACUAAAGCACAUUUUCUGUUAGUGUGAUUUUUUUCAUAACAUUUUUUCAAAGCUACAGUUGAAGGUUUAAUAUGGAACAAUUUAAUAAAAAGCCAUAUGUUUAAAAACAAUACCUUCAUGGGGGGGGUUUAGAGGUGUGCGGUACAGUAUUUCCUUUAAAAGCUAUAUUUUAAUAAAUAAAAAUAUACAUUAAUUUUGACAGGCAUGACACUGGGUUUAUGUUUACGUCUACCAGCCAAUAGAGGGCCCCAGACAGUCCGCUCGGCACAGCGAGGCUGGUACUGGAAAACUACGAACUCGGCAUGUCGAGCAGCUGCUUUUGCACCCCAUCCUUAUCAGAAGAGGAGCGACCAUGAAAGAUCUAAAACCAGAGUCGGUUUAGGGGAAACCUGAACAGAUUGACCCAAAUAAAACAUUUCACAUAUCAGCAGUAGAUCUGGUAUUCCGACGGCUGGACACCUUGUUCUGUGGUUGCAACUACAACCUCCACACACUAGAUGUCGCUUUAGUGUUCAUGUUCUAUCUUUAAUAAGAACGUUUAAGUCUUAUCUGGAAAAGCAUCUUGCUGAGGGAAACCUUUCAUAACAUUGACUAUAAUUAUUUGGGCAAUUUGUGAAGUUUAUGAAAAAAUCAGUACAUUUAUAAAAUCUCAAUAACACACUUAAGGGUAUAAUUAAAGUUCUGUGUAGCCGUUUAAAGCUUUUAAUUAAAGAGCAAGUCACCCCCAAACCAACUUGUUUGCUGAUAAACUACAUAAGUGAGUGUCUACUUGUGCUGUAGACACGUGUAUUCAAUAAUUUGGCCCUUUAGUGCAUUUUAGUUGAUAUUUAAAUAUUCUGCCUAAAACUGUCAGUGUUGUGCCGUCUCCAGGUAAAAACUCUGCACUGCAUUUGAAUUUAAUCGCUAUUGGCUAAGAGGUACACUAUAAUGUUAGCUGGUACAUCAUGAUGUCACAAUGUCAUUGUGAGCCAGUGUGUGUGUGUAUUUGUUAGCGGCUCCGCCCUCUUAGUCUGCCAGACAACAACAUUUAUUGUGUUUGUCAAACAGGAAGUAGGAGUGAAGUAAAACUCUGUUAGGGGGUGACAUGCUCUUUAAUAACUUUAAGUGUGUGUCUGCUGGUAGAAGUUGUGGUUGGGGGUUCUGACUUAUGUUGGACACUGGUAGGGGGCUCCUCAAGUAAAAGGGUUUGGAACUGCAGGUUUAGACCAUCCCACCAAUCACAUUUGAGACAGUUUAUUCAGACUGCGUGUGCGUGUGUGUGUGUGUGUGUGUGUGUGUGUGUGUGUGUGUGUGUGUGUGUGUGUGUGUGUGUGUGUGCGCGCGUGUGUGUGUGUGCUUGUAUUUGUACCUUUGUGAAGACUGGAUUUGGGAUAUUUACUAACCUUUUUACGACCGAUGGUCCUUGUUAGGACCAAAACCCGGUCCUAAUAUGGAGUACUCCCUAGGGGUGAGGUUUACAGAUGAGAUGUGAAUUGAGUUUUUGUUACAGAUAACUUUAGGAAUACACUGGUUAGGGUUAGGGUAAGGGUUUGGGUUAGGCAUAGAGGACCCACUAAAAUGAAUGGAAGUCAAUACAAAAUCCUAACAUGGGUGUGUGUGUGUGUGUGUGUGUGGGUGUGUGUGUGUGUGUGUGUGUGUGUGUGUGUGUGUGAGAGAGAGAGAGCAUGUGCAAUGCUG
ensembl:lncRNA